rnacentral:rRNA from 1 species
UACGAAGGGUGCAAGCGUUAGUCGGAAUUACUGGGCGUAAAGCGUGCGUAGGUGGUUUCUUAAGUCCGUUGUGAAAUCCCCGGGCUCAACCCGGGAACUGCGUCCGAGACUGGCAUGCUUGAAUCCGGGAGAGGGAUGUGGAAUUCCAGGUGUAGCGGUGAAAUGCGUAGAUAUCUGGAGGAACAUCGGUGGCGAAGGCGGCAUCCUGGACCGGUAUUGACGCUGAGGCGCGAAAGCCAGGGGAGCAAACGGG